rnacentral:rRNA from 1 species
GUACAACGAGUCGCAAGCUCGCGAGAGUAAGCUAUCUCUUAAAGCCGUUCUCAGUUCGGACUGUAGGCUGCAACCCGCCUACACGAGUAACGGAAUCGCUAGUAAUCGCGGAUCAGCAUGCCGCGGUGAAUACGUUCCCGGGCCUUGUACACACCGCCCGUCACACCAUGGGAGUUUGUAACGCCCAAAGUCGGUGGCCUAACCUUUUAUGGAGGGAGCCGCCUAAGGCGGGACAGAUGACUGGGGUGAAGUCGUAACAAGGUAAC